GACGAACGCUGGCGGCGUGCUUAACACAUGCAAGUGGUGCGACGAACCAGGCUUCGGCCUGGGGCAGAGCCGCGAACGGGUGAGUAACACGUGGGCACCCUGCCCCUAACUUUGGGAUAACUACUCGAAAGAGUAGCUAAUACCGGAUAUGAAGUCUGUAGGCAUCUAUGGAUCUGGAAAGUUUUUCGGUUAGGGAUGGGCCCGCGGCCUAUCAGCUUGUGGGUGAGGUAGUGGCUCACCAAGGCGACGACGGGUAGCCGGCCUGAGAGGGCGACCGGCCACACUGGGACUGAGACACGGCCCAGACUCCUACGGGAGGCAGCAGUGGGGAAUAUUGCGCAAUGGGCGAAAGCCUGACGCAGCAACGCCGCGUGCGGGAUGAAGGCCUUCGGGUUGUAAACCGCUUUCAGCAGGGAAGAAGCGAAAGUGACGGUACCUGCAGAAGAAGCACCGGCUAACUACGUGCCAGCCGCCGCCGUAA
rnacentral:rRNA from 1 species